rnacentral:rRNA from 1 species
AGAGUUUGAUCCUGGCUCAGAUUGAACGCUAGCGGCAUGCCUAACACAUGCAAGUCGAACGGUAACAGGCCCUUCGGGUGCUGACGAGUGGCGGACGGGUGAGUAAUGCGUAGGAAUCUACCCACGAGUGGGGGAGUAGCCCGGAGAAAUCCGGAUUAAUACCGCAUAUGCCUACGGGUAAAGACGGGGAGUCGUAAGACCUCGCGCUGGUGGAUGAGCCUACGUCCGAUUAGUUAGUUGGUGGGGUAAAGGCCGUACC